AAUUGCUAUUGCUACAUACUAAUAAUUUUCUGCCAAAGCCGUUUCUAUCAAAAAGAAAAAAAGGUCAAAUUCUUAAAAUAAGAGAAAAGAAAAUGGUUGCUUGCUACCUCUCUUGGCUUGUGAGAAUUUUGAUCAUGCUAACAACAAUCCUUCUCUUCUUUUCACUUAUUGGGGAAGCGGCACCAAUUUGCCAAGGAAAAUGUGAAGAUAUUGCUGAUUGUGAUGGGUAUUGCCGUAGAAUUGGUUUUAGUGGAGGCGCCUGUCAGCCUCCGCUUUUUCAAUUUUGUUGUUGCAACCAGUGAUAUAUAAUUCUUCAUAGCUAUUUGAGCUAAUAAAGUUAAUAAAAA